GACGAACGCUGGCGGCGCGCCUAACACAUGCAAGUCGAACGGAGUCAAGAGGAGCUUGCUUUUCUUGACUUAGUGGCGAACGGGUGAGUAACGCGUGAGUAACCUGCCCUGGAGUGGGGGACAACAGUUGGAAACGACUGCUAAUACCGCAUAAGCCCACGGAUCUGCAUGGAUCUGCGGGAAAAGGAUUUAUUCGCUCUAGGAUGGACUCGCGUCCAAUUAGCUAGUUGGUGAGGUAACGGCCCACCAAGGCGACGAUUGGUAGCCGGACUGAGCGGUUGGCCGGCCACAUGGGGAGUGGGACAAGUCCCAGACCCCCCCGGGGGGGAGGAGGGGGGGAAUUUGCAAAAUGGGGGAAACCCUGAGGCCGCCGGGGCGGGGGGAGGAAAAAGGUUUUCGGAUUGUAACCCCCUGUCGUUAGGGACGAUAAGGACGGUACCAAAAAAAAAAGCCCCGCCAAACUACUU
rnacentral:rRNA from 1 species